rnacentral:rRNA from 1 species
GAUGAACGCUGGCGGCGUGCCUAAUACAUGCAAGUCGAGCGAACGGACGAGAAGCUUGCUUCUCUGAUGUUAGCGGCGGACGGGUGAGUAACACGUGGAUAACCUACCUAUAAGACUGGGAUAACUUCGGGAAACCGGAGCUAAUACCGGAUAAUAUUUUGAACCGCAUGGUUCAAAAGUGAAAGACGGUCUUGCUGUCACUUAUAGAUGGAUCCGCGCUGCAUUAGCUAGUUGGUAAGGUAACGGCUUACCAAGGCAACGAUGCAUAGCCGACCUGAGAGGGUGAUCGGCCACACUGGAACUGAGACACGGUCCAGACUCCUACGGGAGGCAGCAGUAGGGAAUCUUCCGCAAUGGGCGAAAGCCUGACGGAGCAACGCCGCGUGAGUGAUGAAGGUCUUCGGAUCGUAAAACUCUGUUAUUAGGGAAGAACAUAUGUGUAAGUAACUGUGCACAUCUUGACGGUACCUAAUCAGAAAGCCACGGCUAACUACGUGCCAGCAGCCGCGGUAAUACGUAGGUGGCAAGCGUUAUCCGGAAUUAUUGGGUGUAAAGCGCGCGUAGGCGGUUUUUUAAGUCUGAUGUGAAAGCCCACGGCUCAACCGUGGAGGGUCAUUGGAAACUGGAAAACUUGAGUGCAGAAGAGGAAAGUGGAAUUCCAUGUGUAGCGGUGAAAUGCGCAGAGAUAUGGAGGAACACCAGUGGCGAAGGCGACUUUCUGGUCUGUAACUGACGCUGAUGUGCGAAAGCGUGGGGAUCAAACAGGAUUAGAUACCCUGGUAGUCCACGCCGUAAACGAUGAGUGCUAAGUGUUAGGGGGUUUCCGCCCCUUAGUGCUGCAGCUAACGCAUUAAGCACUCCGCCUGGGGAGUACGACCGCAAGGUUGAAACUCAAAGGAAUUGACGGGGACCCGCACAAGCGGUGGAGCAUGUGGUUUAAUUCGAAGCAACGCGAAGAACCUUACCAAAUUUUGACAUCCUUUGACAACUCUAGAGAUAGAGCUUUCCCCUUCGGGGGACAAAGUGACAGGUGGUGCAUGGUUGUCGUCAGCUCGUGUCGUGAGAUGUUGGGUUAAGUCCCGCAACGAGCGCAACCCUUAAGCUUAGUUGCCAUCAUUAAGUUGGGCACUCUAAGUUGACUGCCGGUGACAAACCGGAGGAAGGUGGGGAUGACGUCAAAUCAUCAUGCCCCUUAUGAUUUGGGCUACACACGUGCUACAAUGGACAAUACAAAGGGCAGCGAAACCGUGAGGUCAAGCAAAUCCCAUAAAGUUGUUCUCAGUUCGGAUUGUAGUCUGCAACUCGACUACAUGAAGCUGGAAUCGCUAGUAAUCGUAGAUCAGCAUGCUACGGUGAAUACGUUCCCGGGUCU